UACGUAGGGUGCGAGCGUUGUCCGGAAUUACUGGGCGUAAAGAGCUCGUAGGUGGUUUGUCGCGUUGUUCGUGAAAACUCACAGCUCAACUGUGGGCGUGCGGGCGAUACGGGCAGACUGGAGUACUGCAGGGGAGACUGGAAUUCCUGGUGUAGCGGUGGAAAUGCGCAGAUAUCAGGAGGAACACCGGUGGCGAAGGCGGGUCUCUGGGCAGUAACUGACGCUAAGGAGCGAAAGCGUGGGGAGGCGAACAGG
rnacentral:rRNA from 1 species